rnacentral:rRNA from 1 species
UGGGGAAUUUUGGACAAUGGGCGCAAGCCUGAUCCAGCCAUGCCGCGUGAGUGAAGAAGGCCUUCGGGUUGUAAAGCUCUUUCGGCCGGGACGAAAUCGCUUCCGCUAAUACCGGGAGUGGAUGACGGUACCGGAAUAAGAAGCACCGGCUAACUACGUGCCAGCAGCCGCGGUAAUACGUAGGGUGCGAGCGUUAAUCGGAAUUACUGGGCGUAAAGCGUGCGCAGGCGGUUCCGCAAGUCAGAUGUGAAAUCCCCGGGCUUAACCUGGGAACUGCGUUUGAAACUACGGAGCUAGAGUACGGCAGAGGGAGGUGGAAUUCCAAGUGUAGCAGUGAAAUGCGUAGAUAUUUGGAGGAACACCGAUGGCGAAGGCAGCCUCCUGGGCUAGUACUGACGCU